rnacentral:lncRNA from 1 species
UAUAAGAGAAGAGGUUCUAGGAAUAAAGUGGGCCCACUUAAGUGAGCACUUAUAGCAAUGCUAAUUUGGAUCAAAAAUAGAAGUUUGGUACUUGCUUGUGAACAGAAGAAUUUAGGUUUUCAGAUAUUACUUUAUUAGAACACGGAUCCAAUUUUGCAUUCCCUCUUUUGUAUUUCUUCACAUAUUUAGGUGAAAAUGUGAUAUUCCA